rnacentral:rRNA from 1 species
UACGGGGGGGGCAAGCGUUGUUCGGAAUUACUGGGCGUAAAGGGCUCGUAGGCGGCCAACUAAGUCAGACGUGAAAUCCCUCGGCUUAACCGGGGAACUGCGUCUGAUACUGGAUGGCUGGAGGUUGGGAGAGGGAUGCGGAAUUCCAGGUGUAGCGGUGAAAUGCGUAGAUAUCUGGAGGAACACCAAUGGCGAAGGCAGCUCGCUGGGACGGUACGUGACGCUAAGGCGCGAAAGCGUGGGGAGCAAACGGG